AGAGUUUGAUCCUGGCUCAGGAUGAACGACCGGCGGCGUGCCUAACACAUGCAAGUCGAACGAAGCUUGACGGAUGAUUUCUUCGGAAUGAAACCAGAUAUGACUUAGUGGCGGACGGGUGAGUAACACGUGAGCAACCUGCCUUUCAGAGGGGGAUAACGGCUGGAAACGGUCGCUAAUACCGCAUGAUGUGUUCGGAUGGCAUCAUCUGAACAUCAAAGAUUUAUCGCUGAAAGAUGGGCUCGCGUCUGAUUAGAUAGUUGGUGGGGUAACGGCCUACCAAGUCUACGAUCAGUAGCCGGACUGAGAGGUUGAACGGCCACAUUGGGACUGAGAUACGGCCCAGACUCCUACGGGAGGCAGCAGUGGGGAAUAUUGCACAAUGGGGGAAACCCUGAUGCAGCAACGCCGCGUGAAGGAUGACGGUUUUCGGAUUGUAAACUUCUUUUCUUAGUGACGAAGACAGUGACGGUAGCUAAGGAAUAAGCAUCGGCUAACUACGUGCCAGCAGCCGCGGUAAUACGUAGGAUGCAAGCGUUAUCCGGAUUUACUGGGUGUAAAGGGAGCGCAGGCGGGACUGCAAGUUGGAUGUGAAAUACCGUGGCUUAACCACGGAACUGCAUCCAAAACUGUAGUUCUUGAGUGAAGUAGAGGCAAGCGGAAUUCCGAGUGUAGCGGUGAAAUGCGUAGAUAUUCGGAGGAACACCAGUGGCGAAGGCGGCUUGCUGGGCUUUAACUGACGCUGAGGCUCGAAAGUGUGGGGAGCAAACAGGAUUAGAUACCCUGGUAGUCCACACUGUAAACGAUGAUAGCUAGGUGUGGGGGGUCUGACCCCUUCCGUGCCGGAGUUAACGCAAUAAGCUAUCCACCUGGGGAGUACGACCGCAAG
rnacentral:rRNA from 1 species